AUUGAACGCUGGCGGAAUGCUUUACACAUGCAAGUCGAACGGCAGCACGGACUUCGGUCUGGUGGCGAGUGGCGAACGGGUGAGUAACAUAUCGGAACGUAUCCAAUAAUGGGGGAUAACGAGUCGAAAGAUUCGCUAAUACCGCAUACGCCCUACGGGGGAAAGCUGGGGACCUUCGGGCCUGGCGUUAAUGGAGCGGCCGAUAUCUGAUUAGCUAGUUGGUGAGGCAAAGGCUCACCAAGGCGACGAUCAGUAGCUGGUCUGAGAGGACGACCAGCCACACUGGAACUGAGACACGGUCCAGACUCCUACGGGAGGCAGCAGUGGGGAAUUUUGGACAAUGGGCGCAUGCCUGAUCCAGCCAUUCCGCGUGAGUGAAGAAGGCCUUCGGGUUGUAAAGCUCUUUCGCAAGGGAAGAAAACUUAGCCACUAACAUUGGUUGAGGUUGACGGUACCUUGAUAAGAAGCACCGGCUAACUACGUGCCAGCCGCCGCAGUAA
rnacentral:rRNA from 1 species